CGGCGCGGGCGCCAGCGGGGGAAGAGGGGUUCGGGGAAGAGUGAUGCGGGGCCCAGAGAGAAGAAGGUACUGUUGAUUGAACCCAGGGUCUUGUGCAUGUAUUCUACCACUGAGCAACACUCCCAGCUUGAUAUGCGUAUAAUGUGUAAGGAGUUCUGAUAAAUGCAAGACCAGCCAAGAAGAAAAAAAGAUGUGUAUGGAGUUGUAUGUGCUGCAGUUCCAAAUACGUUGCUGGGAGGAGACAGUUUUCAUUGCACCCAGGCAGCAGGGGAACCGAGCCCUUUGCUCACACUGUGCAGAUUGGGUGAUUGGAAGAAUUCUGCAGAGACUCUCCAUUGCCUAGCUGGAUGACUUCCUGGGGCUCUUUCUUCAAGAUUGCUGAUCCUUUUCCAGCCAUGAUACUAAACCCAUGAUCCUUUCCCAGAUGGUGACUGUAGRGUGUCUUGACCAUUCGGUGACCAGGCAGCUGCAGGCUUCCCCAUCCGGUUUGAGCCCAAGCAGAGGCCUUGAACCUUCCUAGAUGCCAGUGGAGAUACUUAUGUUGUCUAAAACAUGGAAAGAAACUGGCCCCAACCUGAGCCGAAGUUCUGUGAACCCUCCUGUCAACCCCUUGCCUGACCGCUGGCUGUGGCCACGCCAGGCUCAGCACCCUCUCCCUCUCGGUUGUGAGGAUGAACUCUGCCCUCUCUAGGUAUCUGUGAAGUGCCCUUCAGAAAUAACACAGCAUCAGUGACCUUCUCGGCCCUUUGCACCUGGGGCCCCUGCUCAGCAGCCUGCUCUCCCCAGUGCUGUCCAGGUGGGCUGCCUCCAGGCCAGGACCCAGCAGUGUUCAGACAGAGCAUGUGGGAGGCAGGUUCCUGAGUCCCCGGGUAUGGGAAAAUGCCUCUGUUCCGUCAGAGCACUCAACUGUGGGCGGGAAACUGUUCUCAAAACUCAGAGGCCCCGGCCAUGGUCUCCCACUGUCCAGAUCACUGUGGAAAGCUGGUGCCCUCCCGUGAUCAGUCCUUCACAGACCUUACAUUUGGUCCUGCUCCGCUGCCUGUCUGAAAGUUUUCAGGAUCUUCAAUGUAAACUCACUGUCUGCAGCUUCAUAAUGAGGGACUUGGAGUGGGUUUUCCCUCUGUCAUCUGCUCAGCAUUCUAGGGCCUCUCAAUUUGGACAACAAUACCCUUCUAUUUGAGAGGUAUUUUCUUGUUAUUUGUGUGUGUGUGCGCGAGUGUGUGCACG